AGAGGAAGCCGGUGAGAAUCCGGCGCGGUCCCGCCACUGUCACCGGGGAGCGCUCUCCCAUCACCUGUACGAGUCACGGCCGUCCACACCGCGGCUGGAAGACCGGGAGAAACGCGGAUCCGGGAGCCAGGAGACUC
rnacentral:ncRNA from 2 species